rnacentral:rRNA from 1 species
UGGGGAAUAUUGGACAAUGGGCGAAAGCCUGAUCCAGCCAUGCCGCGUGUGUGAAGAAGGUCUUCGGAUUGUAAAGCACUUUAAGUUGGGAGGAAGGGCAGUAAGCGAAUACCUUGCUGCUUUGACGUUACCGACAGAAUAAGCACCGGCUAACUCUGUGCCAGCAGCCGCGGUAAUACAGAGGGUGCAAGCGUUAAUCGGAAUUACUGGGCGUAAAGCGCGCGUAGGUGGUUCGUUAAGUUGAAUGUGAAAGCCCCGGGCUCAACCUGGGAACUGCAUCCAAAACUGGCGAGCUAGAGUAGGGCAGAGGGUGGUGGAAUUUCCUGUGUAGCGGUGAAAUGCGUAGAUAUAGGAAGGAACACCAGUGGCGAAGGCGACCACCUGGGCUCAUACUGACACUGAGGUGCGAAAGCGUGGGGAGCAAACAGG